AUUGAACGCUGGCGGCAGGCCUAACACAUGCAAGUCGAACGAGUGGCGGACGGGUGAGUAAUGUCUGGGAAACUGCCCGAUGGAGGGGGAUAACUACUGGAAACGGUAGCUAAUACCGCAUACCAUCGGAUGUGCCCAGAUGGGAUUAGCUAUUAGGUGGGGUAACGGCUCACCUAGGCGACGAUCCCUAGCUGGUCUGAGAGGAUGACCAGCAAACCUGGAAUGGGGAAACGGUCAAAACUCCUACGGGAGGAAGCAGUGGGGAACAUUGGAAAUUGGGGGAAAGCUUGAUGCAGCCAUGCCGCGUGUAUGAAGAAGGUCUUGGGGUUGUAAAGUACUUUAAGCGAGGAGGCGUUACUCGCAGAAGAAGCACCGGCUAACUACGUGCCAGCAGCCGCGGUAAUUC
rnacentral:rRNA from 1 species